rnacentral:sRNA from 1 species
UAACCCCAUUACCACUUCCCCUUCUUGAAA